UACGUAGGGCGCAAGCGUUGUCCGGAAUCAUUGGGCGUAAAGAGCUCGUAGGUGGUCUGUUACGUCUGCUGUGAAAUCCUAGGGCUUAACCCUGGGCCUGCAGUGGAUACGGGCAGCUAGAGGUAGGUAGGGGAGAAUGGAAUUCCCGGUGUAGCGGUGAAAUGCGCAGAUAUCGGGAGGAACACCGGUGGCGAAGGCGGUUC
rnacentral:rRNA from 1 species